AUUGAACGCUGGCGGCAGGCCUAACACAUGCAAGUCGAGCGGAUGAAGGGAGCUUGCUCCUGGAUUCAGCGGCGGACGGGUGAGUAAUGCCUAGGAAUCUGCCUGGUAGUGGGUGAUAACGUCCGGAAACGGGCGCUAAUACCGCAUACGUCCUGAGGGAGAAAGUGGGGGAUCUUCGGACCUCACGCUAUCAGAUGAGCCUAGGUCGGAUUAGCUAGUUGGUGGGGUAAAGGCCUACCAAGGCGACGAUCCGUAACUGGUCUGAGAGGAUGAUCAGUCACACUGGAACUGGGACACGGUCCAGACUCCUACGGGAGGCAGCAGUGGGGAAUAUUGGACAAUGGGCGAAAGCCUGAUCCAGCCAUGCCGCGUGUGUGAAGAAGGUCUUCGGAUUGUAAAGCACUUUAAGUUGGGAGGAAGGGCAGUAAGUUAAUACCUUGCUGUUUUGACGUUACCAACAGAAUAAGCACCGGCUAACUUCGUG
rnacentral:rRNA from 1 species